rnacentral:tmRNA from 1 species
GGGGCUGACUUGGAUUUCGACAGAUUUCUUGUCGCACAGAUAGCAUGCCAAGUGCUGCUUGUAAAACAGCAACAAAAAUAACUGUAAACAACGCAGAUUACGCUCCAGCUUACGCUAAAGCUGCGUGAGUUAAUCUCCUUUUGGAGCUGGACUGAUUAGAAUUUCUAGCGUUUUAAUCACUCCAUAACCUUAAGCUAGACGCUUUUAAAAGGUGGUUCGCCUUUUAAACUAAGAAACAAGAACUCUUGAAACUACCUCAAGGUUUUAGAAAGUUGGACCAGAGCUAGUUUUAAGGCUAAAAACUAACCAAUUUUCUAAGCAUUGUAGAAGUUUGUGUUUAGGGCAAGAUUUUUGGACUGGGGUUCGAUUCCCCACAGCUCCACCA